AUGUCGAGUUGCAAGGGUAAAAAGUCAUGGCCAGAAUUGGUUGGAAUCAAUGGAGAAGCAGCAGUACAAAUAAUCAUGAGUGAAAAUUCGAGAGUGACUGCAAGAACUUUACCAGAAGAUUCAGUAGUUACCACUGAUUUCAGGUGUGACAGAGUUCGUGUCUUUGUUGAUAAACAAGAUGCUGUAGCUCGAGUGCCCAAUAUUGGUUAA